rnacentral:tRNA from 1 species
GCCUCGGUAGCUCAGGGGAUAGAGCAGGAGCUUUCUAAUCUCUUGGUCGGGGGUUCGAAUCCCUCCCGGGGCA